GACACAAUGGCCGAGUGGUUAAGGCGUUUGACUAGAAAUCAAAUGGGAUUUUCCCGCGCAGGUUCGAAUCCUGCUUGUGUCG
rnacentral:tRNA from 1 species